UACGAAGGGGGCUAGCGUUGCUCGGAAUUACUGGGCGUAAAGCGUGCGUAGACGGUCAUGUAAGUCGGGUGUGAAAGCCCCGGGCUCAACCUGGGAAUUGCAUUCGAGACUGCAUGGCUAGGGUGCGGAAGAGGGAAGCGGAAUUUCCGGUGUAGCGGUGAAAUGCGUAGAUAUCGGAAGGAACACCAGUGGCGAAAGCGGCUUCCUGGUCCAGCACCGACGUUCAGGCACGAAAGCGUGGGGAGCAAACAGG
rnacentral:rRNA from 1 species